rnacentral:rRNA from 1 species
GGGUUAAGUCCCGCAACGAGCGCAACCCUCGACCUUAGUUGUCAGCAUUCAGUUGGGCACUCUAAGGUGACUGCCGGCUAAAAGUCGGAGGAAGGUGGGGAUGACGUCAAAUCAUCAUGCCCCUUAUGACCUGGGCUACACACGUGCUACAAUGGUUGGUACAACGAGUUGCGAGUCGGUGACGGCGAGCUAAUCUCUUAAAGCCAAUCUCAGUUCGGAUUGUAGGCUGCAACUCGCCUACAUGAAGUCGGAAUCGCUAGUAAUCGCGGAUCAGCACGCCGCGGUGAAUACGUUCCCGGGCCUU